AGUUCAUGAUGAGGGACCUUCCUUAGUAAUUCCUUAUAACGCUCCCAUGACUCAUACAAUGAUUCCCCAUCUUGUUGAGAGAAAGUGGUGAUAUCAUUCCUCAUCUU
rfam:Nelumbo nucifera unplaced genomic scaffold scaffold00426, whole genome shotgun sequence